UCUUCUUCCCCAAUCCCAAACCCUAACUUGGCCCAAAAUCAACUUCUGAACAAAUCUAAAUUUGCAAAUUUCAAAUUAAAUCCAAAAUUUCCAUUAAUAGAAUCUGAUACAUUCAAAACUUGAAUUUACAAUCGAAACUGGUCCAGAUACAUUGCAAAACCUUAAAUCUAUUUCUUACACAAAAUCAAUCUAAAUCAAAUAUAUAAUCCAAU
rnacentral:lncRNA from 1 species